GACGAACGCUGGCGGCGUGCUUAACACAUGCAAGUCGAACGGAAAGGCCCUGCUUUUGUGGGGUGCUCGAGUGGCGAACGUGUGAGUAACACGUGAGUAACCUGCCCUUGACUUUGGGAUAACUUCAGGAAACUGGUGCUAAUACCUGCUAGGAGCUCCUGCUGCAUGGUGGGGGUUGGAAAGUUUCGGCGGUUGGGGAUGGACUCGCGGCUUAUCAGCUUGUUGGUGGGGUAGUGGCUUACCAAGGCUUUGACGGGUAGCCUGCCUGAGAGGUGGACCGGCCACAUUGGGACUGAGAGACGGCGCAGACUCCUACGGGAGGCAGCAGUGGAGAAUAUUGCACAAUGGGCGGAAGCCUGAUGCAGCAACGCCGCGUGCGGGAUGAAGGCCUUCGGGUUGUAAACCGCUUUCGCCUGUGACGAAGCGUGAGUGACGGUAAUGGGUAAAGAAGCACCGGCUAACUACGUG
rnacentral:rRNA from 1 species